GGUGAACGCUGGCGGUAGGCCUAACACAUGCAAGUCGAACGGCAGCACAGUAAGAGCUUGCUCUUACGGGUGGCGAGUGGCGGACGGGUGAGGAAUGCAUCGGAAUCUACUUUUUCGUGGGGGAUAACGUAGGGAAACUUACGCUAAUACCGCAUACGACCUACGGGUGAAAGCAGGGGAUCUUCGGACCUUGCGCGAUUGAAUGAGCCGAUGUCGGAUUAGCUAGUUGGCGGGGUAAAGGCCCACCAAGGCGACGAUCCGUAGCUGGUCUGAGAGGAUGAUCAGCCACACUGGAACUGAGACACGGUCCAGACUCCUACGGGAGGCAGCAGUGGGGAAUAUUGGACAAUGGGCGCAAGCCUGAUCCAGCCAUACCGCGUGGGUGAAGAAGGCCUUCGGGUUGUAAAGCCCUUUUGUUGGGAAAGAAAAGCAGCAGGUUAAUACCCCGCUGUUCUGACGGUACCCAAAGAAUAAGCACCGGCUAACUUCGUG
rnacentral:rRNA from 1 species